rnacentral:rRNA from 1 species
UACGGGGGGGGCAAGCGUUGUUCGGAAUUACUGGGCGUAAAGGGCUCGUAGGCGGCCAACUAAGUCAUACGUGAAAUCCCCCGGCUUAACCGGGGAACUGCGUCUGAUACUGGAUGGCUUGAGUUCGGGAGAGGGAUGCGGAAUUCCAGGUGUAGCGGUGAAAUGCGUAGAUAUCUGGAGGAACACCGGUGGCGAAGGCGGCAUCCUGGACCGAUACUGACGCUGAGGAGCGAAAGCCAGGGGGGCAAACGGG